GGAGAGGUGGGAGAGCGGUUUAAUCCGGCGGUCUUGAAAACCGCUGACCUCCUGUGGGUCCGUGGGUUCGAAUCCCACCCUCUCCGCCA
rnacentral:tRNA from 1 species